AUGUUCAUCGACACAGGCAGCGACGUGUCAUGGGUGCAGUGCAAGCCAUGCUCGCGGUGCCACUCGCAGGCGGACUCGCUCUUCGACCCCAGCUCGUCGAGCACCUACUCCCCGUUCACCUGCAGCUCCGCCGCCUGCGCGCAGCUCCGCCGGGACGGCCAAGGAAACGGCUGCUCCGGCUCCCAGUGCCAAUACAUUGUCAACUACGGCGAUGGUUCGAGAACCAUCGGGACCUACAGCUCCGACACGCUCUCUCUGGGCUCCAACGCCGUCAGCAACUUUCAGUUCGGGUGCAGCCAGUCUGAGUCGGGCCUCCUUCUCAACGACCAGACCGCUGGGCUCAUCGGGCUCGGCGGCGGCGCUCAGUCGCUGGCCACCCAGACCGCGGGGUCCUUCGGCAAGGCCUUCUCGUACUGCCUCCCGCCGACUCCGGGGUCGUUCGGGUUCCUCACUCUCGGUGCAGCAACCUCGGGUUUCGUCAAGACGCGGAUGCUCAGGAGCACGCACGUCCCGGCGUACUACGGCGUGCUCCUUCAAGCCAUCAGGGUGGGAGGCAGGCAGCUCAACAUACCCACCUCGGUCUUCUCGGCCGGGUCGAUCAUGGACUCCGGCACAAUCAUCACGUGCCUGCCGCGGACCGCGUACUCGGUGCUGUCGUCGGCGUUCAGGGCCGGCAUGAAGCAGUACCCGCCGGCACAGCCCAGGGGCAUCUUCGACACGUGCUUCGACUUCAGCGGCCAGUCCACCAUCAACGUACCGAGCGUCGCACUGGUGUUCUCCGGGGGCGCCGUCGUCGACCUCGCCUCGGACGGGAUCAUUCUGGACAGCUGCCUCGCCUUCGCGGCCAACCGCGAUGACAGCUCGCUCGGCAUCAUCGGCAACGUGCAGCAGCGGACGUUCGAGAUGCUCUACGACGUUGGUGGCGGCGCCGUGGGGUUCAAGGCUGGCGCAUGCUGA
rnacentral:rRNA from 1 species